CCAACCCACCACUUCCUAAACUCCCUCAACCUCACCGUCAUCACCCUAGCUAUCGCCCUCCCAGAUUCCGUCUUCAUCAUCCUCUCCAACCUCUGCAAUUUCGCUCCAAAAUGCUUAAUCGUCUCGUCCAACUCCCAGCUCCCCUGACCCGGCCCCUUAGCGCCCAAGAACGUAAAACAACGCGCAAUCCCCACUGCACCCAGGGCAUCCAGCCUAUCUGCAUUCCUGCACGAUAGCUAGCUCCGGAUACCCUUCCUCAAAAAAUGAGGCGGCAGAUUACAGCCGGGUCCUUCAUUUCCGUGG
rnacentral:sRNA from 2 species